rnacentral:rRNA from 1 species
UACGUAGGUGGCAAGCGUUGUCCGGAAUUAUUGGGCGUAAAGCGCGCGCAGGCGGUCCUUUAAGUCUGAUGUGAAAGCCCACGGCUCAACCGUGGAGGGUCAUUGGAAACUGGGGGACUUGAGUGCAGGAGAGAAGAGUGGAAUUCCACGUGUAGCGGUGAAAUGCGUAGAGAUGUGGAGGAACACCAGUGGCGAAGGCGACUCUUUGGCCUAUAACUGACGCUGAGGCGCGAAAGCGUGGGGAGCAAACAGG